AACGAUGGCACCAAUAAUCGUAAGAUAAACAACGAAGCGUUACUGAGCCAUCUCGACGAGCCAAUCUCUGCCCUCAGCACUUUUCGUAUAUACCACUUUCUUCAACCCCCACAAAGGCACCAGAUGAAGGGACUAUUAUCGACUUCAUUUUGUCUAUGAAGGAAUCCUGGAGCAGAUGAACGGAUAAAAAUAUGUGGUAUUUACAUGCAAUGGAAUAUUAUUCAGGCGUAAAAAAUGAAGACAAUCCUACCAUUUGUGACAACAUGGAUGAAACUCGAAGACAUUAUGCUGAAAUAGGCCCGUCACAGAAGGACAAAUGCUGCAUGAUUCCACCCACAUGAGCAUAUGCAGGGCUGCAGAGGAUGUGCAGUGAAGUAUUUAAAUAAUGAAUUAUUCAAAAAGAAAAGGAACUGCAGGUACCUGAUGCCAGAAAUUCAUGCCUGUGAAUUCUUAAUCUGUUCUCCAAUGGGAUUAGCAUUUACGACUAUGAAAGAUGUCCUAAUUAUGCAGAGUUUCAGAGUUGAUUUUCUGCAGGGCCUGCGCAGAUCUAAAAAGCAUUAGGCAACAAUAAAAACAGAUGACUAUGAAUUUCUGAAUUCAUAAUUUGGUUUCCCUUUUGGGGGAAAUGGCAUUUUUAUUUAUGGGUGCUUCAC